UUGCCCACUCGAGGUUGAUAAUGCCUUGAGUGGCCAUUAUGGAGGGGUAGAGCAUCCUUCUCUCUUAAAAACCUGAGUCAGGGUUCUCGUCCCUGCCUCCGGACCUGUCGGGAGGAACAUUA
ensembl:snoRNA